CCAAAAAUCUAUAACAGUUGGCGCUGGAUCAUGACGUCAUCGAUCACAUAUAAUGCGCGGUCUUUAUUCGUCACAUCCUCUUUCCGUUGCUCUUCUCGCUUAGAGAAAUUUCCCCACACGAUGAGAGCUAAGUGGAGGAAGAAGCGUAUGCGCAGGCUGAAGCGUAAAAGGAGAAAGAUGAGGCAGAGGUCAAAGUAAGCCCUCAUCCCCAGCAGCUGUGAUCCUGUCAAAGCCUCUACAGAAGACAGAUCCCUAGUGGAAUAAAAGCCUCCACUCCGAUGUCUGACAGAUCUGAUCAAGCUGUGAAUGUCUGACUGGAAGAUGGCUGAUGCUGGACAGAUCAACAUCAGAACUACAGCUGCUUUGUUCAUGGACCAUAAUACAUGUUUCCUAACAAACUUUUAUGUGGUGUAUUGAACAAUAAAAAAACACUGUUAAAACUGA